rnacentral:rRNA from 1 species
UACAGAGGUGGCAAGCGUUGUUCGGAUUUAUUGGGCGUAAAGGGUCCGUAGGCGGUUUGGAAAGUCGGGUGUGAAAGCCCACAGCUCAACUGUGGAACUGCACUCGAAACUUCCAGACUAGAGUAUGAGAGGGGUUAAGGGAAUUCCCGGUGUAAGGGUGAAAUCUGCAGAGAUCGGGAGGAACACCAGUCGCGAAGGCGCUUAACUGGCUCAUUACUGACGCUCAGGGACGAAAGCGAGGUUAGCAAACGGG